rnacentral:rRNA from 1 species
UGGGGAAUAUUGGACAAUGGGGGGAACCCUGAUCCAGCCAUGCCGCGUGUGUGAAGAGCCUUAUGGUUGUAAAGCACUUUAAGCGAGGAGGAGGCUCUUUUGGUUAAUACCCAAGAUGAGUGGACGUUACUCGCAGAAUAAGCACAGGCUAACUCUGUGCCAGCAGCCGCGGUAUACAGAGGGUGCGAGCGUUAAUCGGAUUUACUGGGCGUAAAGCGUGCGUAGGCGGCUUUUUAAGUCGGAUGUGAAAUCCCCGAGCUUAACUUGGGAAUUGCAUUCGAUACUGGGAAGCUAGAGUAUGGGAGAGGAUGGUAGAAUUCCAGGUGUAGCGGUGAAAUGCGUAGAGAUCUUGGAGGAAUACCGAUGGCGAAGGCAGCCAUCUGGCCUAAUACUGACGCUGAGGUACGAAAGCAUGGGGAGCAAACA